rnacentral:rRNA from 1 species
UACGAAGGGGGCUAGCGUUGCUCGGAAUCACUGGGCGUAAAGGGUGCGUAGGCGGGUCUUUAAGUCAGGGGGGAAAUCCUGGAGCUCAACUCCAGAACUGCCUUUGAUACUGAGGAUCUUGAGUUCGGGAGAGGUGAGCGGAACUGCGAGUGUAGAGGUGAAAUUCGUAGAUAUUCGCAAGAACACCAGUGGCGAAGGCGGCUCACUGGCCCGAUACUGACGCUGAGGCACGAAAGCGUGGGGAGCAAACAGG